CCUACGGGAGGCAGCAGUGGGGAAUCUUCCGCAAUGGGCGAAAGCCUGACCGGAGCAACGCCGCGUGAGUGAUGAAGGCCUUCGGGUUGUAAAACUCUGUCUUCAGGGAAGAAAAAAAUGACGGUACCUGAGGAGGAAGCCACGGCUAACUACGUGCCAGCAGCCGCGGUAAU
rnacentral:rRNA from 1 species